rnacentral:lncRNA from 1 species
AGUAAGUGAUAAACAGGAGUCUACUCAUUCCCCAGGAGGGCUGGAGACAGAGGAUGACUAUGGCUACCAGGGCCACGUUCAAGCCUGUAACUUCUCAACACAGAUGGCAAAAGUCUACAUCAACGAUUCAGUGGAGCUGAGCCGGGAUGAGAACAAGAUAGCAGCCUGGCUGGCCCAGAAAGGACCGAUCUCAGUUGCCAUUAAUGCCUUCGGCAUGCAGUUCUAUCGCCAUGGGAUUGCUCACCCAUUCCGGCCCCUCUGCAGCCCUUGGUUCAUCGACCACGCUGUGUUGCUGGUGGGCUAUGGAAACCGCUCCAACAUUCCUUACUGGGCCAUCAAGAACAGCUGGGGCAGGGACUGGGGUGAGGAGGGUUACUACUACUUAUA